CCUACGGGCGGCAGCAGUGAGGAAUAUUGGUCAAUGGGCGCGAGCCUGAACCAGCCAAGUCGCGUGAGGGAAGACGGUCCUAUGGAUUGUAAACCUCUUUUGUCGGGGAGCAAAAGACGCCACGCGUGGCGUUCCGAGAGUACCCGAAGAAAAAGCAUCGGCUAACUCCGUGCCAGCAGCCGCGGUAAUACGGAGGAUGCGAGCGUUAGCCGGAUUUAUGGGGUUUAAAGGGGGCGCAGGCGGAAGAUCAAGGCAGCGGUAAAAUUGAGAGGCUCAACCUCUUCGAGCCGUUGAAACUGGUUUUCUUGAGUGAGUGAGAGGUAGGCGGAAGGCGUGGUGUAGCGGUGAAAUGCAUAGAUAUCACGCAGAACUCCGAUUGCGAAGGCAGCAUACCGGCGCUCAACUGACGCUCAUGCACGAAAGUGUGGGUAUCGAACAGGAUUAGAUACCCGGGUAGUC
rnacentral:rRNA from 1 species